GGGCCUGGGCACAGGUGGUUCUGACCCAGUCCAGCCCGGAGAUUAAGAAACCCGGGGAAUCCACUAAACUGACCUGUGCCGUGAGCGGCUUUGCUCUCAGCAGCACUAGCAUGUACUGGAUCCGACAGGCUCCGGGAAAGGGGCUGGAGUGGCUGAUCUACUAUUAUUCAUCGUCUAGCAACAGCUACUCCCCGACCAUCCAGGGGCGAUUCACAGCCUCCAAGGACAGCUCCAAUUUCUACCUACACAUGACCAGCCUGAGAGCGGAGGACACCGCCGUGUAUUACUGCGCGAGGGACACA